CGGCAACAGAUCCAACAACGGCGGAUUAAAAUAUACAAAGUUUGUGCGAAAAAACAUAAAAUCAAAUGGAUUAUAAUGCAUAAAUAUCAACAUCAUACCGGGAAACUACACUAUCGCACGAGUGGGAGUAGUUAAACAGCGAUAAAACGCUUGCCAAGGAACAUGCAGCACCAUCGAAAUCUGUGAAGAGUCAUUGGUGGAAGAACAGCAGAUUCUCUGGACAUGGGCAAAGUAGCUCAAUCUAAAUAAGGCAUAAAACGGCACAAAGUUUAUAAGCAAUCAUGAUGCUGAAUCCCAAUAAACUGCAUAUUUAAGGUGAACUUAUGGCCUAUGGUCUCAUUAUAUCAAGAUGAUGACCAUAGGCCGGAGAUAUACUGAUAAUAACAUAAUUCGAAUAUAAUAUA